CCUCCUUCGCUGGACCACAAGGAAUGCCUUUUUGGAAAAGUAAUGGAGUCCAGUGAACUUUAACUUCAUUGAUCUCUAAGGAUUAUUGAAAAUUAUAAAACUUGCUAUGGGACUCUGAUGUGCCAGAAGCCACUAGAAAAAGAAGUUUGAUAUUCAGAAUCUCAUCAAGAGCCUCUCCUUGUCUUUAGAUAGAGACUAAAAUGAUACUUUCAAUCAGCUGGUCCCUCUUCUCAGGUGUAGAUCACCUAUUAUCAUUUCACCUGUUUUCAUUCUCUGAUGAGGAAAGUCCCGGGACGUAUCAGCUGGGAUAGGCCUCAUUCACAAGACAGCUCUGUUCCGUAUUUGGAAGAAAGCCUGACAGGUUUCUCCGGAAAAGUGGCCAUCCAUGGAGUGAAUGAAAUGUUCCCUUUCUAUUCCAGUAAGUAAUUGACUUGUAACUAAAAUUGAACUGGCUGCUAUGUCAACUGCAAUGUGAGCUGCUGCUGGCACAGGUGUUGCUUACUCUUUAGCCUGGAAAGAAAAGGGGCUUAACCUGUGAUUGCAUUUCAAGUCAAUUGACCUCAACGUGAUAGUACAUAAUUCUCACUUGCCUACCAAAUGGCCUGAGUUCUCAUUCUCACCCUGGU